UUAGUACUUUCAUUGUGUAAGUUUUGUUGCAUUCAAAUCCUUGGUCAUUCUGUAAUUUAUCUCAAUGUAAUCUAAUUUAGUCAGUACUUAAUUCUUCUAUUUUUCAUCUUUUAAUAAUAAUGGCAUUUAUGGCCAUUAUUUUUUCCUCAAAACAGCUUUAUUACGUUCCAUAGUUGUUUGGUAAGAUGUGUUCCCCUUUCCAUCCCUUCCUAGACAGUUUGUAUAUAAUUUCCUUUUUUAUUUUCUUUUAGGUCCAAGGGUUAUAUCAUAUGUAAAAUUUUGCAGUUAAGGUUUUUUAGUCAUCUUUUAUUAUUUACUUUUAAUUUGACUUAAUUGUGCUCAAGGAAGUGUAUGUGUAAUAAUUUUCUUUGUGGCCAGCUUACAUGAUCAAUUUUUACAAAUGUUCCUUAGAUGCAGGUAUAAAUGUAUAUUUAUUCUCUUUUUGAGGGGUAUAGAGAUCUAGUAUCUAUUAAGCCAAAUAUGUUAGUUGUAUAAUAUUUAUGAUCUUAUUUUUUGUCUACUAGAUUGUUCAACUAUGAGAGGCCUUCUACUAUCAAGACCUGUUUAUCAAGAUGAUAAACAUGGACUCCUAACGCAGUAGAAAGACCCUACCUGAUCUUCAAAGAGAACCCUAACGACGUCUCUCUGAUGCACACCAUUAUCUCACUAGGACCAGAAUUAAAACAACAGUUAAAAAGCACUCAUAAGACGAGCACUAGCAUAUCUCAUUUCAUCCUUUUAACUAUCCUGUGUGUUAGAAAGCAUCCCUACUUUACAAAUGGAGACAGGAGGUUAAGUAACUUCCCCAAGGACCCUUAACGAACACACGGCAGAACUAAGAUGAUUGUAGGUUAUGCGACAACAGAAACUGAGCCAUUAACUACUAUGCUAUGCCACCUCCUAAGCAGGAAAUACCUAUUAUCUUUUCUCUACAUAAACAACUUAGUUCUUCACUUUACCUUUCCCUUUUAAUAUCCGUGGGCCAAGAAAAACCCAGAACACAGACUUCUUAAAAAGAAUUAAAUUCAUUAUUCUUUAUCCACUUGCUUUUACCAAACCAAGGAACCAAAAAGGAAAAAACAUUUGGAACACACAAUUUCUUUUACUCCAAAAGUACUAAAAUUUCAAUAUGACCAAGAAACAAAGGAUAAAAUGUUAGGAAAAAACAAAACAACAACUAGAGUUUGAAUUAUAUUCUAUUCUGAAAGUACAAAAUGUAAUAAUAUGAAAAACAAAAACUGAGGUGUUAUUUUAGAAGUUAAAUUACUCAUCACGUUAAAUCAACUGUAGUGGACAGUUUUUUCUUUAGACAACCGACUUGGGUCACAUCCCACCCUGUAAGUGGAAAGGUGUUCAUUGUGUUGUGCACACAAGAAAUGCAGCCAUUUGGUUCUCCUAAAACAUACAAUACACGUCAGAAAGGUCCCACCACAAAUGACAAAGGUGUAAGAUAUCUAAGAAUAAACUUAUGAAAUGUGUAAAACACUACCAAAUUUUAGUAAGGGACAUAGGUCAAUAAAUGGAGUAACUGUUUUUUGAACAAGAAAACUCCAGAUUGAAAUGAAUGCAAUUUUCCCUAAAUUAAUCUAUUAAUAUAAUGCAAUAAAUCAAACACCAUUGUUCGUUUAAUUUAAAAAUAAAUCCCAAAUUCAUUGUGCAACAAAAAUGUAGGAAAUUCCUAGAAAUUUUUGGUAAGGAUUUUAAGGGGAGAGGUGAAUAGGAGCAAGAGAGAAGAGGAGGAGGGCCAAGUCCAUUGAACUAUAAAACCAACUACAGUAAUUAAAGCACAACAGUGUUAUCAUGGAGAGAAACCAACUAGAAAGGGAUCCAAAUGGCAAGCGGCAAUCAUGGGGAAAAGAUGAAUUAAUCGGUAAACAGUAUUAGAAUUACUGACUAAACAUUUUAUUCACAGUUGAAAUUCAUUUUGGUGUAAAGAAUGAGGUGAGGAUCCGUCUUUCCUUUUACCAAACAGCUAAAUGUAAAAAUAACACAUUAACAGUUGAGAAGAAAAUAGGAUUGAAUACUCUUAUAAACUUGAAAUGGGAACAAGCUUUAAGUAGUUUUUUUCCUAAUAUAUGACCGUAAACAUUUUAAAAUAAAAUGGCAGUCAAUCCGUAA